rnacentral:tRNA from 1 species
AAUAAAAAUAAACCUAUUAAAUUAUUAGUUAAUGAGCUUGAAUAAGCAUAU